rnacentral:rRNA from 1 species
GAUGGUACAAAGGGCAGCAAAACCGCGAGGUCAAGACGAAUGCCAUAAACCCAUUGUCAGUUCGGAUUGUAGUCUGCAACUCGACUACAUGAAGCUGGAAUCGCUAGUAAUCGUAGAUCAGCAUGCUACGGUGAAUACGUUCCCCGGGUCUUGUACACACCGCCCGUCACAAAAGGGAGAGUUUGUAACACCCGAAGCCGGUGGAGUAACCUUUUAGGAGCUAGCCGUCGAAAGGUGACAGAGAUGGG